rnacentral:rRNA from 1 species
UGGCUCAGAAUGAACGCUGGCGGCGUGCCUAAGACAUGCAAGUCGAACGUGAAAGCUCCUUCGGGAGUGAGUAAAGUGGCGCACGGGUGAGUAAUACUUAGGUAACCUGCCCUCUCGCUGGGGAUAACCAGAGGAAACUCUGGCUAAUACCGAAUACACCGACAGAGACUGCGGUCUUUGUCGGAAAAGCCUUUGGCGCGGGAGGAGGGGCUUAAGUCCUAUUAGCUUGUUGGUGAGGUAACGGCUCACCAAGGCGACGAUGGGUAGCUGGUCUGAGAGGAUGAUCAGCCACACUGGUACUGGAACACGGACCAGACUCCUACGGGAGGCAGCAGUUAGGAAUUUUGCGCAAUGGGCGAAAGCCUGACGCAGCAACGCCGCGUGAGGGAAGAAGGCCUUCGGGUUGUAAACCUCCUUUAGUGGGAAAGAAAAAAAUGACGGUACCCACAGGAAAAGCACCGGCUAACUACGUGCCAGCAGCCGCGGUAAUACGUAGGGUGCAAGCGUUAUUCGGAAUUAUUGGGCGUAAAGCGCAUGUAGGCGGUUUAGUAAGUCCGAUGUGAAAGCCCUCGGCUCAACCGGGGAACAGCAUUGGAUACUGCUGGACUAGAGUGCAGGAGAGGUGAGCGGAAUUCCUGGUGUAGAGGUGAAAUUCGUAGAUAUCAGGAGGAACAACAGCGGCGAAGGCGGCUCACUGGACUGUAACUGACGCUCAGAUGCGAAAGCGUGGGUAGCAAACAGGAUUAGAUACCCUGGUAGUCCACGGCCGUAAAACGAUUGGGUACUAGAUGUCGGGAGUUCUUACCCUCUCGGAGUCGUAGCUAAAGCGUUUAAGUAACCCGACUGGGGACUACG